rnacentral:rRNA from 1 species
AAUUUAAAGUCUAACCUGCCCACUGAAAAUUUUUGAAGGGCCGCAGUAUUUUGACUGUGCAAAGGUAGCAUAAUCAUUUGUCUUUUAAUUAAAGGCUGGAAUGAAUGGUUGGAUGAAAUAUUAACUGUCUCAUUUUUAAAAAUAUAAAAAUUUUUCUUUUUAGUCAAAAGACUGAAAUAAAUUUAAAAGACGAGAAGACCCUAUAGAUCUUUAUAAAUUUUAUUUAUAUAAAAAUUAGAUUAAAAAUAAUUAUAUAAAAUAAAUUUAUUUUAUUGGGGUGAUAGGAAAAUUUAAUAAACUUUUUUUAAUUUAAAACAAUGAUUUUUGAGUAUUUGAUCCAAUAUUAUUGAUUAAAAAUUUAAGUUACCUUAGGGAUAACAGCGUAAUUUUUUUUGAGAGUUCUUAUCGAAAAAAAAGUUUGCGACC